rnacentral:rRNA from 1 species
GAUGAACGCUGGCGGCGUGCCUAAUACAUGCAAGUCGAGCGAACAGACGAGGAGCUUGCUCCUCUGACGUUAGCGGCGGACGGGUGAGUAACACGUGGAUAACCUACCUAUAAGACGGGGAUAACUUCGGGAAACCGGAGCUAAUACCGGAUAAUAUAUUGAACCGCAGGGUUCAAUAGUGAAAGACGGUUUUGCUGUCACUUAUAGAUGGAUCCGCGCCGCAUUAGCUAGUUGGUAGGGUAACGGCUUACCAAGGCAACGAUGCGUAGCCGACCUGAGAGGAUGAUCGGCCACACUGGAACUGAGACACGGUCCAGACUCCUACGGGAGGCAGCAGUAGGGAAUCUUCCGCAAUGGGCGAAAGCUUGACGGAGCAACGCCGCGUGAGUGAUGAAGGUCUUCGGAUCGUAAAACUCCGUUAUUAGGGAAGAACAAAUGUGUAAGUAACUAUGCACGUCUUGACGGUACCUAAUCAGAAAGCCACGGCUAACUACGUG